rnacentral:rRNA from 1 species
UACGUAGGGGGCUAGCGUUGUCCGGAUUUAUUGGGCGUAAAGAGCGUGUAGGCGGCCUGUAGGUCUGCUGUGAAAACUCGAGGCUCAACCUCGAGAUGUCGGCGGAAACCAUCUGGCUAGAGUCCGGAAGAGGAGAGUGGAAUUCCUGGUGUAGCGGUGAAAUGCGCAGAUAUCAGGAAGAACACCUAUGGCGAAGGCAGCUCUCUGGGACGGUACUGACGCUGAGACGCGAAAGCGUGGGGAGCGAACAGG